AGAGUUUGAUCAUGGCUCAGGAUGAACGCUGGCGGUAUGCUUAACACAUGCAAGUCGAACGGAUGUUUUCGGACAUUAGUGGCGGACGGGUGAGUAACGCGUGAGAAUCUAGCUUCAGGUUGGGGACAACAGUUGGAAACGACUGCUAAUACCGAAUAUGCCGAGAGGUGAAAGAUUAAUUGCCUGAAGAAGAGCUCGCGUCUGAUUAGCUAGUUGGUGGGGUAAGAGCUUACCAAGGCGACGAUCGGUAGCUGGUCUGAGAGGACGAUCAGCCACACUGGGACUGAGACACGGCCCAGACUCCUACGGGAGGCAGCAGUGGGGAAUUUUCCGCAAUGGGCGAAAGCCUGACGGAGCAAUACCGCGUGAGGGAAGAAGGCUCUUGGGUUGUAAACCUCUUUUCUUAGGGAAGAAAAAAAUGACGGUACCUAAGGAAUAAGCAUCGGCUAACUCCGUGCCAGCAGCCGCGGUAAUACGGAGGAUGCAAGCGUUAUCCGGAAUGAUUGGGCGUAAAGCGUCCGCAGGUGGCAAGUCAAGUUUGCGGUUAAAGGUUCUGGCUCAACCAGAGACAGGCCGUGAAAACUGACUAGCUAGAGUAUGGUAGGGGCAGAGGGAAUUCCCAGUGUAGCGGUGAAAUGCGUAGAGAUUGGGAAGAACACCGGUGGCGAAAGCGCUCUGCUAGGCCAAAACUGACACUGAGGGACGAAAGCUAGGGGAGCGAACAGGAUUAGAUACCCCCGUAGUCC
rnacentral:rRNA from 1 species